GAGUUUGAUCCUGGCUCAGAUUGAACGCUGGCGGCAUGCCUUACACAUGCAAGUCGAACGGCAGCGCGGACUUCGGUCUGGCGGCGAGUGGCGAACGGGUGAGUAAUGCAUCGGAACGUACCCGGAAGUGGGGGAUAACUCUCCGAAAGGAGUGCUAAUACCGCAUAUUCUGUGAGCAGGAAAGCAGGGGACCGCAAGGCCUUGUGCUUCCGGAGCGGCCGAUGUCAGAUUAGCUAGUUGGUGGGGUAACGGCCUACCAAGGCGACGAUCUGUAGCGGGUCUGAGAGGAUGAUCCGCCACACUGGGACUGAGACACGGCCCAGACUCCUACGGGAGGCAGCAGUGGGGAAUUUUGGACAAUGGGGGCAACCCUGAUCCAGCCAUGCCGCGUGAGUGAAGAAGGCCUUCGGGUUGUAAAGCUCUUUCGGCCGGGAAGAAAUCGCACAGGCUAAUACCUUGUGUGGAUGACGGUACCGGAACAAGAAGCACCGGCUAACUACGUGCCAGCAGCCGCCGUUAUACGUAGGUGGGGAGGCGUUAAUCGGAAUUACUGGGCGUAAAGCGGGCGCAGGCGGUUUGGUAAGAACAGCGUGAAAUCCCCGGGCUCAAACCUGGGAACUGCGCUUGUUGACUGCCUCACUAGAGUACGGCAGAGGGGGGUGGAAUUCCACGUGUAGCAGUGAAAUGCGUAGAGAUGUGGAGGAACACCGAUGGCGAAGGCAGCCCCCUGGGCCGAUACUGACGCUCAUGCACGAAAGCGUGGGUAGCAAACAGGAUUAGAUACCCUGGUAGUGCACGCCCUAAACGAUGUCAACUAGGUGUUGGGGUGGGUAAAACCAUUUAGUACCGUAGCUAACGCGUGAAGUUGACCGCCCUGGGGAGUACGGCCGCAAGGUUAAAACUCAAAGGAAAUUGACGGGAACCCGCACAAGCGGUGGAUGAUGGUGGAUUAAUUCGAUGCAACGCGAAAAACCUUACCUACCUUUGAACAUGUCUGGAAGGCCGAAGAGAUUUGGCUGUGCCCGGAAAGGGAACUGGAACACAGGUGCUGCAUGGCUGUCGUCAGCUCGUGUCGUGAGAUGUUGGGUUAAGUCCCGCAACGAGCGCAACCCUUGUCGUUAAUUGCCAUCAUUUGGUUGGGCACUUUAACGAGACUGCCGGUGACAAACCGGAGGAAGGUGGGGAUGACGUCAAGUCCUCAUGGCCCUUAUGGGUAGGGCUUCACACGUCAUACAAUGGUCGGUACAGAGGGUUGCCAAGCCGCGAGGUGGAGCCAAUCCCAGAAAGCCGAUCGUAGUCCGGAUCGUAGGCUGCAACUCGCCUGCGUGAAGUCGGAAUCGCUAGUAAUCGCGGAUCAGCAUGUCGCGGUGAAUACGUUCCCGGGUCUUGUACACACCGCCCGUCACACCAUGGGAGCGGGUUCCGCCAGAAGUAGGUAGCCUAACCGCAAGGGGGGCGCUUACCACGGCGGGGUUCGUGACUGGGGUGAAGUCGUAACAAGGUAGCCGU
rnacentral:rRNA from 1 species